GGGGGGCGGUGGUGGGGAGGUGGCCUCUCUCCUCCUGAGUGGUGUUCUGGCCGCCCUUUCUGGAGCUGCUGCCCUAACACACACAGGAGUCGUGCUGGGAGCGAGUGAAGGACCCCAGGGUGGAGGAAUCCCCGCCGCAGCGGCAGCAGUGUGGGUUCCCAUGGAGGCUGAGCACAGAGAGGACUGAGUGCUGCAUUCGAGAGCUGGCCUUUAACAUGUCACAUCACAUUUUCCAUUCGCAGGCAAACCAAAACCAAACCAACAGCACACAGCCUCCCACCCAUCACACAAUUCAUAAACCCAUCAGAAUUCACAGCCGGCCAACCAACCAGAAUCCAGAUGCAGGUAAAUGUCAUUAAGAAGCCUGCACACCACCAGAUGCCACGAGGGUCUUGGUGAGCCUCCAGUCCCAGAGCCGAGAAAAAGUGAGCCAGGGCUUCAGGGUCCAUAAACACAAAAGCAUUCCUCUCACCCUGCCCAACAGGACCGAUCUGACUGCUCAAAGCGAAGCACCAAGGAUUUAGGGCCUGUGAUAGCGCUAAAGAAACAGGGUUGUGGGACACAUGAGCACCCGAACACGGAACACAUGGGGAGUCCUGUCUCGGGCUAACUUCAAGGCUCUGAUUCUGUUAUUAAAGCAAUCUAUCAAAGAGAAUGCUGAAGCAAAAAUAAAAUCCAAUCAGGUGGUCGUGAGCCUGACUUUAUCAACACAGCACCAUGUCUGUUUACGUUCUGCUGCUUACUUGGAGAAUCACCUCUAGUCCCACCAGCCCCUGGGAAUGCAGGCACAUACCUGACCGGUGGGCCUUCUCUGCAGUCCACUCCCCAAUCCACACAUCUUUUGCAAAGUUAAGGAUGGAUUCCCUGAUACCCAAACUUCGAAGCCCGCCUAUGAGUCAGAUGGAGCUACUCGGUGUAUGCUUUCUAUUUAAAGAUCAGAUGGGGCUUAUGCUCCGAUACCAUUCAGACCCUAAGCUUCUAAGAACUGGGUGCUAAAUCUGCUCUGUUCAGCCCUUACUUUCCAUCCACACAGGAGAUGUUCUUGUUGACAACCAGGGCUGCUUUUUUCCAUCGCCAGCUGCACAGGAAGCAGGGGUAAUGGGGAGCUGCCGGCCUCUUGGGCUGGGCUGCUACGGAGUCAACAUCGCAGCUUCCUCUAAGAAAGAUGUGUAGGGGACCUCUGAAUGCCACUGCCGUGGUCAGGAAGGAGUGGCAAGGGCCGGACAGCUGUCCUGGGAUCCUGUCUGAGCUACACUGUGCCAAGGGCCACUAUGGGGGCUGCUGGAGACAGACACACAACACACCAGCAGGACGGUUCUACCUAACCAGUCAACCCAAGAGUCCCUCCACCAUCUUCUCAGAAAGCCCAGUGGGACAGAUGAGACAUCCCCCACUGAACACCCAUCAUCAGAGGAGAAAGGAUGGCCAGAGGGUGCCAGCCCAGAGCUGGGUCCUGCAUACUGAGGGGCACAUGCACGCCUCUAAAUUUCCUCCCCUCCUCCUGGUUUGAUCACACUCAAGGAAAGCAGCCUGCCUGUGCUCUGGAGCCAUCCAGUGAAAGAUGGAAGCGCAAAAGAGCUGUGUCCCCAAGCCCCGGAAGGCAGGAGCUGAGCUCCUCACAGACUCUUGAGAGGAGACGCCCACGUACCCAAAGUCUGCCCAGCCCUUGGGAGCUUGGGCAGGUCAGGCCAGGCCUCUCUCAUCCUCUCCCCUCCAUCCCAGUCCUCAGAGAGAAAGCAAGCAGCCUGUGUGAUCAGAUGGAGCCUUCCUUGCUAAUAAACCCAUCCUGAGGCUGUGACACAUUUCAGAAGGAGCAGAAAAUUACCUUUCAGAAAGCCAAUGUGAGGGCCACAAGGCCUCAGGCCAAGGACCAGCAGCCUUGCCACUGUGACUCAGGACACAGGAGGGCGCCAUUUUAUUAUGAAAGUGUUCACGUGUGUGGGGCAAUCAGAAGAACACUACAAGGAGAUCCACAGAUACGACCUAAUUUCCACGGCUUCCCUUUUUCACUAUGAACCCCCUCCUCAUCUCCCCCAGCAACUCCUGGAAUGUCUGCACAGGGGCUGCGGAUUGGAACCCCACCCCCACGUGGUGGCAGAAGGUCCUGGACCCAGGGUGGGUGGAGCUGCUCUCAAGGUCCCUGUGGUGUGGACAGGCUGCACCGGAUGCAAGGCAGACUCUGCCCCAGGCUUCUUUCUCACUCUGCAAAUGAAAGCCUCAGAAAAGGAAGUGUCCUUUCUAGGAUCACACAGCAGGCAGUAACAGCACUGGGUCUAGUCCACCUUCGACCCUGACCUGGGUGGGGAUGUGGGGCUUACAUAAGCCUGCAUCCUCCUGGGCCUACAGCAACAUUCACCCAUCUCCUGUCCCCAGCCAUUUGAACAUAGCUGGGGGCGGGGCGGGGCAGGGAAAAGUGAUACUCAGGGGGUGAUAAGGGGAAUCCAGAUAAACGAGACUGAAACACCUGACCAUGAAACACAGCCAGCCCUCCAUGCUCAUGGUUUCCACAUCCAAGGGUCCAAUCUAUCACAGAUUCAAAGUAUUCAGAAAAAAACUCUACUGAACAGGUGCAAGGCUUUUCUUUGUCAUUAUUCCCAAACAAUACAAUGUAACAGCCAUUUAUGUAGCCUUUCCAUUGUUGUGGGUAUUAUGGGUAAUCUAGAGCCGGCACAGGUUAUACAUAAAUACCAUAUCAUGUCACGCAAGAGGCAUUCUGGCAGUGGCAGAACCAGUCCCCUCUGACACCAAGAGGGAUGUCAAACACAAACUCCAUCUGUGCUUGGCGCCCCUUCUCACGAGGGCCUUCCUUAAAACUUAACCGUGACCCCAGAUCCUGCACUCCUUUGCCUUCCUUUUCUGUAGAGCACGAGUCCUUAUCUAAUAUUCUAUGUAUGUUU